GGCACAACACAACUUCCUUGUUCUGGAUGCCUAUGUGCGUGAGGUUUUUGGAACAUGCAGGUGGAGAUGAUCUGGAAAUCAGAGUGAGUUGGAGGUUCUCACACACAGGAUGGUGAAGAGCAAGCAGGGUGAAAAGCGACAUUGAAAAGCUGGGAGAGAAGAGACUCCAGAAAGAAAGCAAAGACUGGAGAAGGAGCCGGUUUUUCACCUGGUUUGACCUGGACAAAAGCCAAAAAGGGGGCUCUACAUAUCCUCCGUACCGGGACCCUCACGUCGACCCAGGAAAAACUCCCACCGGAUAUGAGGAGAAGGGGUACAAGUUCCUGGGUGUCUCAAUUGGCAGAAGACUCACAUGGAAGACCAACACAACGCUAUGUA